rnacentral:rRNA from 1 species
GAUGAACGCUGGCGGCGCGCUUAACACAUGCAAGUCGAGCGAGAACCAGGGCUUCGGCCCUGGGGACAGCGGCGAACGGGUGAGUAUCACGUGGAUAACCUGCCCUCGGCACCGGAAUAGCCCGGGGAAACUCGGAUUAAUGCCGGAUAGCCCCACGACCCUGCGGGGUGGUGGGAAAAGGUAGCUUCGGCCUCUGGCCGAGGAUGGGUCCGCGGCGGAGUAGCCGGUUGGCGGGGUAACGGCCCACCAAGGCGACGAUCCGUGAGUGGCCUGAGAGGACGAUCAGCCACACUGGGACUGAGACACGGCCCAGACUCCUACGGGAGGCAGCAGUGGGGAAUCUUGCGCAAUGGGCGAAAGCCUGACGCAGCGACGCCGCGUGCGGGAAGAAGGCCUUCGGGUUGUAAACCGCUUUCAGGGGGGACGAAGCCACUCGGGUGAACAGCCCAGAGGGUGACGGUACCUCCAGAAGAAGCCCCGGCUAACUACGUGCCAGCCGCCGCGGUAAAAC